UGGGGAAUAUUGGACAAUGGGGGGAACCCUGAUCCAGCCAUGCCGCGUGUGUGAAGAAGGCCUUAUGGUUGUAAAGCACUUUAAGCGAGGAGGAGGGUACUGGUAUUAAUACUACCAGCUACUGGACGUUACUCGCAGAAUAAGCACCGGCUAACUCUGUGCCAGCAGCCGCGGUAAUACAGAGGGGGCGAGCGUUAAUCGGAUUUACUGGGCGUAAAGCGUGCGUAGGCGGCUAAUUGAGUCGGAUGUGAAAUCCCCGAGCUUAACUUGGGAAUUGCAUUCGAUACUGGUUAGCUAGAGUGUGGGAGAGGAUGGUAGAAUUCCAGGUGUAGCGGUGAAAUGCGUAGAGAUCUGGAGGAAUACCGAUGGCGAAGGCAGCCAUCUGGCCUAACACUGACGCUGAGGUACGAAAGCAUGGGGAGCAAACAGG
rnacentral:rRNA from 1 species